GACGAACGCUGGCGGCGUGCCUAAUACAUGCAAGUCGAGCGAACAGACGAGGCGCUUGCUCCUCUGUCGUUUGCGGCGGACGGGUGAGUCACACGUGGAUACCCUACCUAUCUGUCUGGGAUCAUUUCGAGACACCGGCGCAAACCCCGGAUGAUCUAUUGCUCCGCGUUGUUCAUUGGUGAGAUACGGUUUUGCUGUCUCUUCUCGCUGGAUCCGCGCCGCAUUAGCUAGUUGGUACGGUAAUGGCUUGCCACGGCAACGAUGCGUAGACGACCUGACAGGGUGAUCGGCGACACUGGAAGUGAGACGCGGUCCAGACUACUACGGGAGGCAGCAGUAGGGAAUCGGCCGCAAUGGGCGGAAGCAUGACGGAGCAACGGGGCGUGAGUGAUGAAGGUCUUCGGAUCGUAAAACUCUGUUAUGAGGGGAAAACAAAUGUGUAAGUAACUAUGCACGGCUUGACGGUACCUAGUAAGAAAGCAACGGCUAACUACGUG
rnacentral:rRNA from 1 species